rnacentral:rRNA from 1 species
GUGGGGAAUCUUCCGCAAUGGACGAAAGUCUGACGGAGUGACGCCGCGUGAGUGAAGAAGGCCUUCGGGUCGUAAAGCUCUGUCAUCAGGGACGAACGGCCGGUGGAGUGGAAAGCCACCGGAUUGACGGUACCUGAGAAGGAAGCCACGGCUAACUACGUGCCAGCAGCCGCGGUAAUACGUAGGUGGCAAGCGUUGUCCGGAAUUAUUGGGCGUAAAGCGCGCGCAGGUGGGAUCUUAAGUCCAUUUUUAAAGUUCGGAGCUCAACUCCGUGAUGGGAUGGAAACUGGGAUUCUUGAGUACCGGAGAGGAAAGCGGAAUUCCCCGUGUAGCGGUGAAAUGCGUAGAUAUGGGGAGGAACACCAGUGGCGAAGGCGGCUUUCUGGACGGUGUCUGACACUGAGGCGCGAAAGCCAGGGGAGCGAACGGGAUUAGAAACCCCGGUAGUCC